GCCCGGAUGGUGGAAUCGGUAGACACAAGGGAUUUAAAAUCCCUCGCCUUAUGGGUGUGCGAGUUCAAGUCUCGCUUCGGGCACCA
rnacentral:tRNA from 1 species